CCUGGACGUCAACAGGCUGAAAACGUGCAAGAGGACCGGAGUGGGCCCAGCCUUGUGAGACUCACAAGGAGAAGAUGCUGCAGUCACGUCAUGAAUUCCGACUGCCUGCGCCUGGCGGAUGGUGUUUACCUCGCCCUGCUUCGAAUUCACCAUGUGGAGGAAAAGCGUUAGUUGAGGAAAAGCCUGGCUCCGGCAGCAUCUCUCCGACAGCUGCAUGUGCAGCUGAACCUGCCCAACCAGCAGAGUGAGCCUAUCCUCCACAGCCCAGUGGUGCUGACCCAGGGCCCCAAGACCAAGGAGAGGCACCUCCUCCUCUUCAGGGACUGGCUAGUCAUUGCUAAAGAGAGGACUUCCAAGAGCUACACGUUCAAACAGAAGCUGCCUCUCUCUGACUUAAAGGUGGUCUCCUGUGACAAGGACGAGGACGGUGAUUUCAUCAUCAGUCAAGGAAGCGCUGUCUUGUGCAUGAUGGCCUCUAACCCUUGUGUCUCCGGGUUUCCGUGAGUGCCACCACAUUCACUUGCAGGUUUAUAGCACAGUAUCCUCAGGAAGGCCCCAGCCCUUCAUUAACUCACUGCUCUUGCCACAAACAGAACGUGACAAUGUCUCUUGCAGAAUCAACAAGGGAGGUUCUGCAGUAUUAGCAGAGAGCGACCUCAGAGUCUCCUGUUGCUUUUUCCUGCAUUUCAUCCAAAUUAGUUGCUUUUAAAGAAUAAGAAUGUUGUGACUAAAGAUAAGAGGAAGAGAAACAGCUGAUUUUGGUAAGUCACUACCAAUGCUAGGACUCUGACUACCUAGUUGUUUUAUUUCCCUCUAAGGGGCUUAUUACACAAAUACUAGUAUUUCUUUUCCUUCGGCACGUUUGUGAGCCUGUAACCCAUGAGUAAGUGUGUCACGUAGGAGGUUUAGCACAGAAACCGUCACAGUCAUCGUCCUGAUCUCUCAGGAGAAGAUCCGGAGCAGCCUGGGGCUUCUGCCAACAAGAGGGGGAUGG